GGAAAGGUGGCCGAGUGGCUUAAGGCGCACGCUUGGAAAGCGUGUAUACGGAAACGUAUCGGGGGUUCGAAUCCCUUCCUUUCCGCAA
rnacentral:tRNA from 1 species